CGUGGGCAUGCCUUGGAAGGGUAAAUAUCCCGCCCUUCUCCCUGGAUCACUCUACUUCCUGCCUGUCAUGCCGCCAGCUAUUUCUCCUCUGCCAUGUCACCCUGUCUUGGAGCCAGCUAACUAUGGACUGAAACCUCUACAAACUAAUUUUCCAUUUAAUUUUGGAUCAUAGUUUUUGGAUGAUGGUUGACAGUGGGCAGCUGAAACUGAAGAAAGCAAAACCAUGGAUAAAGAGAGACAACUGGUUGAGCGCAGUGCCUUGCAUAUGUUGAGCAUGUGCUGUACUGAGCUAAACCCACAGCUCAAAAUUCUAUCUAAACUGGUUCCACCACUAACAGCCCAGAGGUAGGGGCUUCUGGGCCACCGUUCCAUCACUCCCAACCCAGAGGAAGGGGCUUCUAGACUGCUGUUCCACCACUUCCAGCCCAGAGGAAGGCACUUCCGGGCUGCCAUUCCACCACUCCCAGCCCAGAGGAGGUGAGCCCCACAGGCACCAAUAGGAACCCUCCCCCCAAGCCCCUGAUGAAAUGAGAAGACACAUAAACAAGUCUCAAAACCAAACUUCCAGAUCACCUACAGCAAACCCAAAGGGAAAUGAGAUGGAACACUGAUACUUAACCACCUGGACUCCCUGAACUGGCAACAAAAGGGGAUCUGGAAAAAAUGAAAUCAGAAAUAAUUUCUCAGAUAACAGCAGAGAUUGUGUUCCUAGUGCAAGACAUGAUUAAUAAAUCUAGAGAAG
rnacentral:lncRNA from 1 species